GAAAAGAAAGAAGUAGAGGUCAAGAGAGCCUCCCCUCCCCACCAUUCCCAGAAAAGGAGGAAGGGGCUGAUGGACUCUCUGGGAACCCCCUCCCCUCCCUGCGCCCCGUCAUCAAGAAGAAAAUUCGAAGAAAAGGUUUAGCAGGGACAGAGAAGCGACCUGUCCCGGAAACCCCUUAAAGCCUGCGGUAAAUGCCCCGGGAAACAGGGAGGGCACGAGCCGAAGCCUCCAGCUCUUCAAAGCUCGGAUUCAAAGACCCGGGGGCUGGGAGACCCCCUCCCUCCAUCCUGGGAAAGCAAAACUCAGAGGAUGGAGCCUUUUGGGAGCUAAGAUGGUCCAUCUUUUAUUCCUCCAAAUCUUUAGGGAAGGAAGUCAGAAUUUGGGGAGGGAGGAGGAGCCCGAAACCCCAGCCCCCACUUUGGGUCUCCUGCUCC
rnacentral:lncRNA from 1 species